GACGAACCGUGCUAACGUUGUUCGGAAUCACUGGGCUUAAAGGGCGCGUAGGCGGGCCCGUCGGUCAGGGGUGAAAGCCCGCGGCUCAACCGCGGAAGUGCCCCUGAUACCGCGGGCCUCGAGGGGGGUAGGGGCGCGCGGAACUUCCGGUGGAGCGGUGAAAUGCGUAGAUAUCGGAAGGAACACCGGUGGCGAAAGCGGCGCGCUGGGCCCUUACUGACGCUGAGGCGCGAAAGCCAGGGGAGCAAACGGG
rnacentral:rRNA from 1 species